UCAUCGUCUUUUUUCGUUUCAAAACAACCUUAGAAUUGGUCCCUCCCUAUAAUAAUAGUAUCACAUUUCUCCUCUUCCUUUGUUCCUUCCAUGUCCAAACCUAUGUUACUGGGACCUGGUGAAUCUUAUCUGGGUCAGUGGUGAAGUGAGUGGUGACUACCCCUUUUGCCUUUUCAUAUAUAUAAGCUUGUGUUGUGUGUGGGAAGUGAAAGAGAAUUUGUAAUUAGCUGUUAAAGAUGAGUGCUUUGUCUAAGAAGAGUGAAGAAUUUCGGAAGAAGAGAGAUGGGUUGGUUAAGAAAGAGUCGUUAACUGAUUCCACUGCUGAGUCAAGAGAAAGCAGUUUCAGUGGAUCAAAUUCAAGUUCCUCAUGUUCAUCAAAUGAAGAAGCAAAAGCAGCAAAAGGGUCUUCUUCUCCAUCUCCACCUGCUCCUCCACUUGGAUGGCCUAUUCUGAAAGCUGCAGUUUCCAAGUGUGGGAAAUCUGAUGAAAAAGAUAAUGAUCAAGAACAUCAUUUGGAUGACACAAAAUUUAGUAGUAUUGGUUCAAAAGUGUCAGAUGCUGAAAUGAUGAAGGAAAGGUUUGCAAAAUUGUUGCUUGGUGAAGACAUGUCAGGUUCUGGGAAAGGGGUUUGUACUACUUUGGCCAUCUCAAAUGCUAUCACUAAUCUGUGCGCCACUGUGUUUGGACAAUUAUGGAGAUUAGAACCUCUACCUUCUGAAAAGAAAGCUAUGUGGAGAAGAGAGAUGGAAUGGCUUGUUAGUGUUAGUGAUCACAUUGUUGAACUAAUACCUUCAUGGAAGCAAGCUAGAGGUAAUGACUUGCAGGCCAAGGACACAUAUUUUUAUCAAUGUUCCAGCGCUUAGGAAACUUGAUAACAUGCUUCUCGACAUAUUGGAUGGUUUCGCCUCCACUGAGUUCUGGUAUGUUGACCAAGGAAUUGUAGCCCCGGAAGCCGAUGCAACAGCCUCAUUUCGCAAGACGAUUCAACGGCAAGACAAGAAGUGGUGGCUCCCGGUGCCCCGUGUUUUAACGAUUAACGAUUAACGACUCUUAACGUUGUCAUGUCCCUGGGACGAAUGAAACCCGACACAUAAGACUUUGCAAUUCAAUUCCAAUGGCUUUGAAAACCUUCUUCACUCUUCUCCACAAUUCACAACACUCUUCUUCCACAACCUUCUUCUCAAUCCCCUGUUUCUGCAUUCUUCACAAUGAACAUCCUGCAUUUAUCAACAUUUUUUACUAAGAGGAAGCUCCAUCUUACUCUUCUUCUCACAACUUUUCUUUCGAGUAAUUUAUCAAACACUAGUGGUGCAUUGUUGAUGGCUCAAGAGUUGGACUUGGAACUUCAGAGAUACACUGAUUCUAAGAAAGGUUUCACUCUUCUUAUACCCUCUUCUUGGACUAAGGGAGGAGGUUGUGCCAGCUGCAGAGGAGGAGGUAGUGCCAACUGCACAAGAGGAGGCAGCACCAACAAAGACAAGAUAUCAUUGGACCCAAGAUGAACAUAGAAAUUGUGCCCUAUUCCGAAGUUUUUAAUGGAUGGAGGAGAAUUUGCUUACAGGAG